UGCUAAGAAAAGGAAUUAAACCUUUAUUUAAGCGUUUUCAGUGCUUUGCUUUGUCAAUUAAGCUAUCUUUGC
rnacentral:tRNA from 1 species